GCGGGUCAUCUUACGGGACACGGUCUGGGGCAGCCCACAGUCCAUAUCUCACCAGUCAGGCUAUUCCUCCCUGGAGUGAGGAUGCCUCUCAAGGUCAUGCCUUGAGGCUGAGAGAAAUGUUUGCCAGUGGUCAUUGGUUUGGGUUCCACCUGCACAUUGGAUGGGAGAGACGGUCACAGAAACCUGUCAGCAAACACAAAGCAAAAGGACCUCUGGACAUUAUGGCAAGGAGAUCUCUGCUCUGAGACCCUGAAUUGCACUAGACAACACUGGGGGCAAAAAGCUCUCGCUGGGGGCUGUGCAAGAGAGGCCAGUGUGUGUGCGGGGACACAGGGCCAGGGAGGGAGCCAGCGGAGUGAAGGUGCCCUAAUGAAAGCCAUGGGCUGCCCCAAGAGAGAGGACAAACAAAAGGGUGUGCCCACAGCAGGGACAGGGAGAGGCAAGGAAACAAGGAGAGGUCUCCAAAGCACUGCCUGGGCUAACGUGCCAAGUUCCAGAGGAGCCUGAGGCUCAGCAAAGGCAGCAAGAGCCCAAUUUACCUGCUCACCACUUCUCCUGGGCACAGUGGAUAAUUCAGGCCUCUCUCUCUUCUCCUCCUCUGCUGAUGCAACCGGCUGCUUAGGUUCCAGGCUGGUCCCUGAGCCACAUAACAGCUGUUCCACUUGUGCUCCAACAGCCUGCUGGGUAUUCAGAGAGGAGAUGAUGCCCAUAUUUCAAACACCACAGAAGCUGUCCCUCAGAAAUCUCCAUCUCGGGAAGCAUCCUCAAAGCACCAGCAAUGCAGCUGCUCUUCAGCCCUCAGUACAAAACUCAGCUGGGUUUAGUUCAUCACUCUGCUCACCUGCUCCAUUCUUUUGCACCCAGAAUAUAAACCCCCAUGUGUUUGCUCCCCUUGUGUAGGGCAUAGGAGAAGCAGCUCCCCAUGCCUAGCUUCUGGCCUGGAGUUGAUUUGAACAGUAAGCUCCAGAGCUGGAUCAGUCAUUCUGGGCAUGCCAGGAAACAAUCUGGCAGUCAAUGGUCUCUGGCUGGAGCCAGGCAGACAGACAAGGCUGCCUGCUGCAGCCCGGGCUGCUUUACCCAAGCAGGCCUGGACUGACAGGGAUAGAGACCCACCUCUUCAUGGGAAACAGCACUGCAAUGAUUCAGGGACACUGGAGUGGACUGAAGGUCAAUGCCAGUGCCUGCCUGGAUACCAGACUUUCCCUUCAGGAUGUACAAGUGUUUCUGCAGAGACCCUUUUUCUUUCAAAGCAGCAAUCCCAUGCUCCAACUCUUCCUGCCUCCUUUCCUUUGCAGUGCCCAAUUGUUGUGUUCUUUCCUGGUGACUUUGCAUCUCAGGUGCAUGCAUUUAAUUCUUCUUUUCCAGAUCUCUCAUGUGCUGCUGGUUCAAUUCCCGUUCAUGCUGCCAAAAAAGGGAGAAAAAGGGUCACUCAUUCCCUCUCUUGGUUUGCUUUUCAGACCAGAUCUGGAUACCUGCUGCAGGGGCAGGCACAGGCUGCCCCUCUCUCUCUCUGCCCCUUGGGAUGCUGCAGACCUUUGCUGGUUCCCUAUCGCGGCCUGGGGUCCCAGGGGUCUGUCCAGCCCCCUGGGCAGCUGCCACCGUAGGUGUCCCGGAUAGCGCUGUGCUGAUGAGGUGCAGCCUGUCUGGCCCCUCAGGCUAGCUCCCAGCCUCAGGCAACUUUACCGAGCAACUCUGGAGUGAUUUCAGCUCUGUGAGUUCAGCUUUUAAGUGAUUUCAGCUCUGUGCUCACUAUGUGCCUCGGCAGACGCAGGGAUGGAGAGAGGAGAAAUCUGUAUGGAGUUCUGCAGAGAUGUAUUUAUUGGCAGGUCCUGCACAGGGUUCCAGUGACAGCUCUUCUGCCGAACUGGGCAGAGAUGGUGUUUAAGUAGGCUACUGGGGGAUUGGAAAUUGUCCAAUGGCCAGGGUUGAGGAGAAUACAACCUAUAGCCUUACAGAGAGAUAACAAGGGUCCGAGAGCAGAAGAGGGGCUGCUUUGGUCCACUCAUCAUGAAUCUGCAUUUCUUAUCUUAGGGCGAGUGACUGCCAGGGAGGCCUUACAGGGCCUCUGACUGCUACAGUCCCCCCCUUGAUGCUGCUCUUUCCCAGCUCACUCAGCCUGUCCCAGCUUCCUUUCUGCCCUUCCCCGACCUCCUGCAGCUCCACUCUGUAGAGAGCUUGGCAGAAGAAUGGUUAAACAGCAAGGGACAUGAAACUGUAAAAUUGGUCAAAGUAUGAGGGGCUACGUGACUGCUGCAACGGUCAGCAUGACCCUGGGUAUAGAAAUCAGGAUAUGUAGAAAUCAGAGUUUGCAAGAAUCAGAAUGCUGAAAACUGCUUGGUAUGUAGAAAUAGAUAGAGAAGAACCAAAAAGUAUCAAUCACAAGAACAGCAAGAGCAACCGAACAAGGCAGAUGCGCAAAUCACACAGCAACCAAUCAUGAGCUUGGCUUUUGCAAUAUGCAUGAACUAAUUAACAAGUAUAUAUAAACUUUGUAAUUUGUUGCAAUAAACUGAGACUUGAUGAUCAUGA